rnacentral:piRNA from 1 species
UAAAAUUGUGGCCCUGUAUGUUUUA